rnacentral:rRNA from 1 species
GGCGGAGCAUGCGGAUUAAUUCGAUGCAACGCGAAGAACCUUACCAAGGCUUGACAUAUACGAGAACGGGCCAGAAAUGGUCAACUCUUUGGACACUCGUAUACAGGUGGUGCAUGGUUGUCGUCAGCUCGUGUCGUGAGAUGUUGGGUUAAGUCCCGCAACGAGCGCAACCCUCGUUCUAUGUUGCCAGCACGUAAUGGUGGGAACUCAUAGGAGACUGCCGGGGUCAACUCGGAGGAAGGUGGGGAUGACGUCAAAUCAUCAUGCCCCUUAUGUCUUGGGCUUCACGCAUGCUACAAUGGCCGGUACAAUGGGCUGCAAUACCGUGAGGUGGAGCGAAUCCCAAAAAGCCGGUCUCAGUUCGGAUUGAGGUCUGCAACUCGACCUCAUGAAGUCGGAGUCGCUAGUAAUCGCAGAUCAGCAACGCUGCGGUGAAUACGUUCCCGGGCCUUGUACACACCGCCCGUCAAGUCAUGAAAGUCGGUAACACCCGAAGCCGG